rnacentral:rRNA from 1 species
UACGUAGGGGGCAAGCGUUUGUCCGGAUUUAUUGGGCGUAAAGAGCGUGUAGGCGGUUUGGUAGGUCCGCUGUGAAAACUCGAGGCUCAACCUCGAGACGCCGGUGGAAACCAUCAGACUAGAGUCCGGAAGAGGAGAGUGGAAUUCCGGGUGUAGCGGUGGAAUGCGUAGAGAUCCGGAAGAACACCGGUGGCGAAGGCGGCCCGCU